GAUGAACGCUGGCGGCGUGCCUAAUACAUGCAAGUCGAGCGAAUGGAUUAAGAGCUUGCUCUUAUGAAGUUAGCGGCGGACGGGUGAGUAACACGUGGGUAACCUGCCCAUAAGACUGGGAUAACUCCGGGAAACCGGGGCUAAUACCGGAUAACAUUUUGAACCGCAUGGUUCGACAUUGAAAGGCGUCUUCGGCUGUCACUUAGGGAUGGACCCGCGUCGCAUUAGCUAGUUGGUGAGGUAACGGCUCACCAAGGCGACGAUGCGUAGCCGACCUGAGAGGGUGAUCGGCCACACUGGGACUGAGACACGGCCCAGACUCCUACGGGAGGCAGCAGUAGGGAAUCUUCCGCAAUGGACGAAAGUCUGACGGAGCAACGCCGCGUGAGUGAUGAAGGCUUUCGGGUCGUAAAACUCUGUUGUUAGGGAAGAACAAGUGCUAGUUGAAUAAGCUGGCACCUUGACGGUACCUAACCAGAAAGCCACGGCUAACUACGUGCCAGCCGCCGCGGUAA
rnacentral:rRNA from 1 species